UAACAUUACUAAAAAAAGUUUGUAUUGUAGGAAUAUUGUCUAUUGGCUCUCCUUGGAACUAGGGUGGUACUGUUACCACAAUCCAAAUUUACUCAAAGGCUUGGACCAAUCUUGUAGAAACCAACAGAAGAAAGAAACGGUAAGAGCUUCAUUGCUUUAUAUAUGCAAAGCCAGCCUGGGAAUUUUUUUCUUAGAGAAAGUGAACGAAAUGCCUUCUUUAAUUACCCUUCUUGGGAAUCACCCAUCACUGAAUAGAAAUUUCUCAUAGAAAUAUAUAAUUUGAGAAAUUCAGUAUGUUUAUUCCUAAAGGAGCUUCAUUUAUUGACCAAUGUUGGAAUGAAGCUCCUUUCUGCAUUUUCCGUAAACAACAUUAGUUGAGUGUUUCCAUUUUCUCGGCUGAACUCAUUCUUCCCUUGCCAAUAAGGUGGUUCUUUGCGUUCUCCAAGUGUAGUGACCGGUCUCACAAUUACUAUACCAAUCAUUAGUGACCAAAUUCUUCAACUGAAGGGGCAACCAUAUCUCCCGGAACCCAAUUCAUUCACUGAGUUCAUCUGUUUAGAGAUCUUCACAUGUGAAACAUUCCUUUCCCAUUUCUGGGUUUCUUUGUUUGAACUGGAUGUCAGACCUAAUGGUCAUCAACAAACAUAAAUACACUUCAAAACAGUCUGAUAUUAACACCCUUCAAUUGGAGGAGGCUUUUAGA